GGGGUCGACUGGUUUUGACAGCAGGUCGAAUUGAACAGUAAGCACGUCGAGCUUUGUGCUUUUAGCUCGUAAAUCCAAAGGUACAACUCUAUAAACGGCGAAAAUAAUUACGCUUUAGCUGCUUAAUCCGAAGUUUAGUACGAUGAGCCAAGUCUCGACAAGGUCGGGAAGCUGGAUUCUCCUCAGAAGCCUUGGUUUAUGGCGGCUGGUCAAGGGGAACCGUAAAAGUAAACCUAGGAAAGGUAAGGCUCUAAAUCCUUUCUAACACGCACAGAGCUAAGCAUCGGGUUGCGGUCUUUGGCAUAGCCCGAUGUCGAAAAUUCAAUCAAAGACUAAACGUGUAGAAAGCUCUUUAGUUGCCUGUUUGGACGGGAGUUCGACUCUCCCCGACUCCACAA
rnacentral:tmRNA from 1 species